AUACAUGCAAGUCGAACGCUGAAGCACUCUGCUUGCAGAGUGUGGAUGAGUGGCGAACGGGUGAGUAACACGUGGGGAACCUGCCCAUAAGAGGGGGAUAACAUCCGGAAACGGGUGCUAAUACCGCAUAGGUGAUCAUAGCGCAUGCUUAGAUCAUUAAAGAUGGCUUCGGCUAUCGCUUAUGGAUGGCCCCGCGGCGUAUUAGCUAGUUGGUGAGGUAAUGGCUCACCAAGGCUGUGAUACGUAGCCGACCUGAGAGGGUGAUCGGCCACACUGGAACUGAGACACGGUCCAGACUCCUACGGGAGGCAGCAGUAGGGAAUCUUCCACAAUGGGCGAAAGCCUGAUGGAGCAAUACCGCGUGAGUGAAGAAGGUCUUCGGAUCGUAAAGCUCUGUUGUUAGAGAAGAACAAGAGGUGUAGUAACUGGCACCUCCUUGACGGUAUCUAACCAGAAAGUCACGGCUAACUACGUGCCAGCAGCCGCGGUAAUACGUAGGUGACAAGCGUUGUCCGGAUUUAUUGGGCGUAAAGCGAGCGCAGGCGGUCUUUUAAGUCUGAUGUGAAAGCCCACGGCUCAACCGUGGAGGGUCAUUGGAAACUGGAAGACUUGAAUGCAGAAGAGGAAAGUGGAAUUCCAUGUGUAGCGGUGAAAUGCGUAGAUAUAUGGAGGAACACCAGUGGCGAAGGCGACUUUCUGGUCUGUAAUUGACGCUGAGGCUCGAAAGCGUGGGGAGCGAACAGGAUUAGAUACCCUGGUAGUCCACGCCGUAAACGAUGAGUGCUAAGUGUUGGAGGGUUUCCGCCCUUCAGUGCUGGAGCUAACGCAUUAAGCACUCCGCCUGGGGAGUACGGCCGCAAGGCUGAAACUCAAAGGAAUUGACGGGGACCC
rnacentral:rRNA from 1 species